AUUGAACGCUGGCGGUAGGCCUAACACAUGCAAGUCGAACGGCAACACAGUGAGGCCUGGCUCUUACCGGUGGCGAGGGGCGGGCGGGUGAAGAAUACAUCGAAAUCUACUUUGUCGGGGGGGAUAACGUGGGAACGCUUACGCUAAUACCGCAUACUACCUACAGGUAAAAGCAGGGGAUCUUGGCCCCUUGCGCGAUUGUAUGAGCCGAUGUCGGAUUAGCUAGUUGGCGGGGUAAAGGCCCACCAAGGCGACGAUCCGUAGCUGGUCUGAGAGGAUGAUCAGCCACACUGGAACUGAGACACGGUCCAGACUCCUACGGGAGGCAGCAGUGGGGAAUAUUGGACAAUGGGCGCAAGCCUGAUGCAGCCAUGCCGCGUGGGUGAAGAAGGCCUUCGGGUUGUAAAGCACUUUUGUUGGGAAAGAAAAGAAGCAGGUUAAUACCCCGCCGUUUUGACGGUACCCAAAGAAUAAGCACCGGCUAACUUCGUG
rnacentral:rRNA from 1 species